rnacentral:rRNA from 1 species
AUUGAACGCUGGCGGCAGGCUUAACACAUGCAAGUCGAGCGGAGAUGAGGUGCUUGCACCUUAUCUUAGCGGCGGACGGGUGAGUAAUGCUUAGGAAUCUGCCUAUUAGUGGGGGACAACAUUCCGAAAGGAAUGCUAAUACCGCAUACGUCCUACGGGAGAAAGCAGGGGAUCUUCGGACCUUGCGCUAAUAGAUGAGCCUAAGUCGGAUUAGCUAGUUGGUGGGGUAAAGGCCUACCAAGGCGACGAUCUGUAGCGGGUCUGAGAGGAUGAUCCGCCACACUGGGACUGAGACACGGCCCAGACUCCUACGGGAGGCAGCAGUGGGGAAUAUUGGACAAUGGGGGGAGCCCUGAUCCAGCCAUGCCGCGUGUGUGAAGAAGGCCUUAUGGUUGUAAAGCACUUUAAGCGAGGAGGAGGCUACUGAGACUAAUACUCUUGGAUAGUGGACGUUACUCGCAGAAUAAGCACCGGCUAACUCUGUGCCAGCAGCCGCAGUAAGAC